CCAAAGGUCCGGGCCCCUCUGGCAGCCGAGGCGUCGGCUGCGAUGUCGGAUCGCCGUA
rfam:Brevundimonas sp. AAP58 AAP58_Contigs_18, whole genome shotgun sequence.